AUGGCGCCAUUUUUUAUUGAACGCGUCGUGAAUCUGCAAUGGUAAUGUUAGAUCGGUUUCACGGAAGAAAGAGGGAAAUACUGUUUCUUGGACGGCAUGAAUGCUCAGGAGGGAGGUAAAGGUCGAGCAGAGGCUAAUGAUGCUUCAACACAGAAUGUUCUUUGAGAUCAGGCUCCUCGACUCGCAGCCUGGCAGCCUCUGAUUAUAACAGUGAUGGCUGGACAAGCGAAGGAAUUGCUGGAAUUGUGCUUGUGGAGCAGAACAGAACGUUUGGAGAUGUUUCCAGCAUGUGAUCAGUUAAAGAAGUUUCCCUCCUCGGAAGACCUUGAGUGUGUCGGUGGAGGACAGGAGCUGAGAGUGGCACGGGAGACGCAUGCAGCCGUUUGAUCAGACCUAAUGCGCUGGAAGCUGCUGAGGAUGCUACCCUUACUGCUCUUUUCCCAGGAGAGAUGGGGAGCGAAGAGAAGAAAGGGGCAAUGAAGAUGUUCCCAGCGGACACCUGCAGAGCAUACCUCACCUUCAUCCAUCAGGAUUCUCCCCUAUGAGUUAAUGCCA